AGUGUGUGUCUGAGCACGGGCAGAGAAUAUCUCGGUGUGCGGUGCUGCAAACCAGUUAAUGAGACCAAAUUAUGUUUACAUAUCAAUGCUAUUAAACUAGUCUUUUAUUAGGCCCCGAACUCUGACCAAUAAGGGAAUAACAUCAGUCGAGUUAUUUGUGUUGGAAAUUCCCGAAAGGAUUCUGGAGAACCACUGAGCCCAGUCCAAAAGGGAUCCUGGAUGAUGGUGAAAUGGUGUGACCAGCCAUGUGAUCGGAUUAUGGGGAUUGCCUGAAGAACUGAUUCAAGCCCUACCUUGAAUUUCAGAUAAGCCGAUGCACUGUUAGUCCUUCCUGGGCAGUAGACUUUCCUGGACCCCUGACUGUUUCCCGUGGACCCUGUUUGGAUGAGCGUGAGUGAGAUUGCGUUUUCAGCGUGGGACUGGACUGAGUGUGUGUGAGUCACAGACGGUGUGAAGAGGAGGUUGAAAGAGUUACCCCUGCCCUGGACCUUUCCCUGGAAUCCCUGGAGCCCCUGUCCUUUCAUAACUGUACACUUUCCACCUGGUGCUGGACAUUAACCUCCCUUCAGUUGCUCAGUUUUGAGUCCUGCCUGAUACAACGUGACAACACCUGCUGUGCAUGUUAUUUGUGCAGGGACAAAGUGAUCCAAACAUUACACUUGCUUCUGACACCUGCAAUAAUCUCCACAACCACAAACUUUGCUUGUUUCUUUUCAGGAGCACUAUCUGGUCCAGCCAUAACUUGUCCUGCCAUCAUAGGUUGCUUAUAUCGUUGUGUCAUAUUUAGACUGAUUACUUGGCACCAGAUGCUCGUCCACUGUGACAUUUGUACUUGGAAUGUAGCUGAAUGGCAGAUGCUCCACACACUUGUCCCAAAUCUCUUUUAUUGCUGCUAAUUUUGUCUUGUUAACCCAUUUAAUCCCAAAUUUUUCCCUGCAAAAUAAGUGCAUGCAUUUCACUCCUUAUACUUCCCCUACAGACAAUAUGUUUAAUUUUUUUAAUGUCAUGGGAGGUUAGAACAGCAACAACUGUUGCCGGUGGGAUUAAAUGUGUGAACAAUGGCCCAG